rnacentral:rRNA from 1 species
CACGUAGGGACCAAGCGUUGUCCGGAUUCAUUGGGCGUAAAGAGCUCGUAGGCGGCUCAGUAAGUCGGGUGUGAAACCUCCAGGCUCAACCUGGAGACGCCACCCGAUACUGCUGUGGCUAGAGUCCAGUAGGGGAGCGUGGAAUUCCUGGUGUAGCGGUGAAAUGCGCAGAUAUCAGGAGGAACACCGAUGGCGAAGGCAGGUCUCUGGGCCACUACUGACGCUGAGAAGCGAAAGCAUGGGGAGCGAACAGG